CCCGCUUCCCUUCACCCAAGCAGAUGAAACAGCGGAGAGCCAACACGUUCGCUCUCCUUGACUCCAAACGCUUAAAAAAAGCAAAAACCGAACACUUCAUUAAAGCCAGACAACUAACAAAGCCUUCCUUACAGACAAGAGUAUGAAUCUGAUGAGGAGUUGGACCCUGAAGAAGGUUCUCCAUAGCACGCCUUCAGGAAACAACAGACACCCAGCUUAGCUGCGGUUAGCAUGAAAAACAGUUUGCAACGCCUGGGGCCUCCCGGCAGCUCGGCUGGGUGAAACCUCAGACCUUGUAGCGACACUGCUGUUGCCGCCUCCGGCCAGGACCGCUGCCCUCCUCUGAGGAGCAGUCAAGAAGGAAUAUAGGUUUGUCCCCAAUGGAAGCAGCUCAGGACAGCUGCUUUGAGGACGAGACUCAGGCGAGGCUCACCGGGCGACUCAACUACCCCAUCUGCCGACUCAGCCAGGAAAUGCAGAAGACCGAGCCGGUUGGCGGUGACAUUUAUGAUUCAGAGAAACCCGCACAAGGACGACGCUAUUAGCCUCAUUUCACAGAUGAGGAAACCGAGGCUCCAAGAGGUUGAAUUCCUUUUGUCAAGUUCACAGACUUGUUAAGCGGCACGCCGGACUUUUCAAGGUAUUCCACUGACUAGCCACGCGGCGGGGAAAGCUAAUAGCACGUCGGGUGCUUAUAAAGUCUUGCUGUACGUGCUCAUUUCCCGAGCGCUGCAUGUUACAGCCGCUUCUGCUGAAAUGUGUUUUCACAACAAGUCUGCUCUUAACAAACACUGAUUCGUGUCUUUCCUACCCGCUCUUUCACAGCAGCAACAGAGCUGAGCACUGUCCCCAAACUCCGCCUUCCCCUCCCAACCCCACCGCCCAGCCUCUACCAGGCCUGCCUUGUCCGCUUGGACCAGGCCUCUGCAGAGCCCCCUCCAAAGGGCCCUCUGCCUCCUGCACUUCCGGCUUCCAGAGAGAUCAUUCUGAAGGACUCUUCCUUUUCAUUCACCACCCUCUUCUUCAGUUCUGCUUUUGGGCACAGUACCUUGGCCUCGGUUAGUUAUUUUUGUCUGGUUACACUUCCCCUGGUCAAAGAGGAGACCGAGACGGAAAGGAUAUUAUAUUUGUUUCUAUAUAUAAUCUGAUCUGAAAGUGCGGUUCAUGGAACUGGUCACAAAUGCAAAUGUUCCGCCUCACCCCAGACCUGCUGAAUCAUAAGCUGUGGGCUUCUGGUACCAAGAGCCGCUUUAACAAGCCCUCCAGGGGACUCUGAUGCACACUCAGGCUUGAGAACCACGGGGUGAAUGUCGCUCUCUGGUGCUCCUGGAGGUGCUGACAAGCACUGGGGUCUCUUCUAACAAAGGCCGCGGCUGGGAAAGCAAAUUUCCAAAAAGCGAGCAUGCAAACACACUGACCUUGUAGCUUUCAACCACCUCCCUUCCAAGGUUAGAGCCUGCGUGGGAAGGAAAGCAAGUCUGAGAGCGAGCAGCCUCUUCAAGUUACCCAGGGCCACAGCCAGCGAAAGUAGGACAGUCCCCAUCAUUUCGGAGUUAACGUCACCAACCCUGGGGGGAGGGGCUGAACGCCUCUCUCAUCGGCUCUGAAACACAUCAUAUCACGCUGUCCGUUCCAGACCUGCGGUAGAGUUUUGGAGGGUCUCCUACUUGGGUUUGAGGAUUUGCUAAUUUUCACUUGCAGAGAAUUUGUCUCUCGGGGGUUUUAUCGGAUCAGAUUCGGCUUGACCGCCCAUCACAGAAAACUAAAAAAUAUCCAUAAUUCCAGGAGUUUAAAGAGACGGAAAUCCAUGUUUCUCUCACAGGCAAGGCCAGAUGCAGGCGGCCAAGGUUUAUGAUGUCUCCACGAUCAUCAGGGACCCUGGCUCCAUUUUCUUCCCGCCUUCCCAUCCUUAACGGUUUAAUUCAUGGUAUGAAACGGCUACUCAUGAUGUCAACAUCACAUCUAAAUUCCAGCCAGAGGGAGGAAAAGAGCAAGUCCCCUUUCUCUGAGGGCACAUGCUGGAAGUUAAACAUGACAUCCAUUGCCUGGUCCCUAGUCACAUGGCAUCUCUAGUUGUAAGGGGGGAGGGGGGGCUGGGAAAUGUACGCUUUAUUUUGGACGGUCACAAGCCCGGUGAAAAAUCAGGAGUUUUAUUACUAAGUGGGAGGGUUGAGGAUUAGUAGUCUGCCUCAGAGGUCCAAUUUUAAGGACCGUGCGUCAACCUACAUCACUUCUGGCUUCCCGGGUCCACCCCAGAGUCUCUUGCCUGAGUUUCUGGGGCCGGUUCUGCCGGAAGACUAACCUCUCUGUUUUUCUCAGUCCUGAUGAACUUCACCAACAGCAAGAAAUUGUGUAGGUCUUUUUGGGAAGCGAGGGAGUUCCAAACUGCUCAUUUAUUCUCUACGUUAUUUCACGCAACUUGCUUUGGAGACUCCCGAGGCCGCGAGGGUCCUUCUGUGAUUCUCUGGAAAACAGCACAGUGUUGUGGGGUUUUUUUUGUUUUUUUGUUUUCUGUCAGAACAUAAGGCAAAGCGGCCUUUGCUGGGUCAUAAGUCAUGAAUUUGGCACGGAUUCCAGCCACCGUCAAGCGUGUUCUAGGGAACUGAGGUGGUCCUGCCCAGAAGCUUCCAUUUGUGUGCCUUAAGCACCAAACAACUCUUAAUGUUGAGGCCUUGGGAGUCUUCAUGUACGUAGUUUAGCGUCAUCACUGUCCCUGAGCCUAUUCUUGAAAUGCCUCUGGGGUAUAUUCUAGAAUACUCUAGAAUAUUCUAGAAUAUCUUAAUAUUCUGGGGUAUACUCUAAUAUAAAGGCUAUAUUCUAGCCUUUUUUUCUGGACCGUUAUGUCUCACAAAUACCGUAUCUCACAUUUCUGAAAUUUCUGAUGGCGGUUAGCUCCUAUGGGAGGUUCUAGAAACUGCUUCACUGUGUGCUCCACAGCCAUAUGGACCCAUCGUUACUGAGCCCCCAGGCCUGUGAGAAAGAGCACGGUGAGGGAUCACUCUCUCCAGCCUAAGCAGGGCUGCUGCAAGCGACGACACUAACAGAAAUCCAACCUACCCGGGGCUCACGCACCUGAAAAAUGCCGGGGUAGGUCUCACUUUGCACAUGCUCCAAGUGGUCAGAUCGUGGCGUGUGGGUUCUUUAUUCUCGGCCUUUUGGUUGUGCUUUCUUGGUCGGGCUUCAUCCUCAGGCAGCCUUUCUCCAGCCGUCAGAAAAGAUGACUUAAUCCCUGAGGGUAACUCCCUGGGGUCCUCCGCGGUAUGGACAGGCACAAAGAGCUGCCGGGAUAAAAACACUUGAGAACUGCUGGGCUACACACGGUGUUCUAGGCUUUGCUUGGCGGCCGGGCUACCGUGUAGACGGGCCCGCAUUAUGCAUGUGCCCCACCCGUGCGGUACAAGCGGGGUCAGCCACGCCCCAGACUUACCAGAGUGUUCCCCAAAGGAAAGCAGAUUUUGUUGCCAAGAGAGGAAGACUCAUGGCUUAACCAACAGCAGAGAUACCCCUUGACCGCCCCAGAUGCCAUGUUUGUUUACAGGAAACCAAAGUUUCACAUGCAUUUGGAAUGAGAACGUACGGAGUUGCCCAACGGCACAGAGAGAGAGAAAAAAAAAAAAGGAAAAUCCCUGGAAUCUUUUCCCACGGGACCCAGAUUUCCACUCUCCCCACGUCCCUUUGGUCUGGGGCCAAGGGAAGUGGAGAGAAGCUGGUAUAAAUGCGUGGGGGCUGGUCCUGUGGAAGGAGGCCUGAAGAAAAUUCCACGUAAAGAUUUUUAGUUGGUUGGGGUUUGGAGAACUCUUUUCACUAGGGACCAAAUCUCAUUCUAGUGCUUUUUGCCUGUGGCCAUGGGGAUGGUCAGGAAACGACUGUGACAAAUUCCCAAACGGACUAGCCCACCAGACAAUUUACGAGGAAAACCCUUGUUCAGAAAGGCUAGUGAAGGGCGCAUGACUCAGUUUCUUCCACAGAUACUGCCCAUUCUGUCGGGAAGGAAAACAAAGAGGGAAAAACAGAGAGAUGGGAUGUUACUUCAUCCAAAAGGUAUGGCUACGAUUUCUCCAGGACAGAGCCGAUUCUGUAAUAUGGGGACUGUUCCAGAAAGGGAGGCUCAAAGCUUCCCCCCCACCCCGGGGACAGGCUCCCGUGGCCCAGGUGGACACCAGACUGUGAUCUCUACCUUAGGACGGGAAUGCUUCCACUUGAUAACCAGCCAAUGAGCUUUUUAAGCCUCUAAAUCUUCAUGCAUUUUUUGAAGGGCCUUUUAUUAAAGACAUUUGCAUGGGAACAUUAUAAUGAACAUCCGUGUAGUCACCACUCAGCUUUCAGUUAUCAACCCACCCAUCUUGUUUUAUCUAUAUAUUCCCACCCAUUCCCUCCACCCCCACAGGAUUAUUUUGCAGCUAUCGUUUAACACAUCACAAUAUUUUAAGUAACUAUUUUUUAAAAGAUUAAAAAAAAAAUCACAGAAUCAUAAAACGUUUUAAUGGUGUCGCGGACUGACUUCUACAAACUCAGCAAUCAGAAUUAGGUACACAAGCCCCUCCCAAUUCUGUUUUUCUUCCCCCCCCCCACCGGCCCCCCAUCUGCCUUCCUCCCGGGUGAAUCACUGCAAUCGAGAAUAAUUACGGAGAUAUUUGGACAUCCCCUGUGCCAACAGCAUCAUCUCAAUUAUGCGCCCCAGGUCCAAGAACUGUGAGUCUUUGUAGGCAAAUCUGCACAUGCUUGCAUUUUUCCCUCCCAUUUUGAGACCAAAUGGCCUCAACAUUUGGUUUGCCAUGCGCGUCCUUCAUCCCAGGCCCCCCCCUUCCCCCCGGCAUUUGAAGGAAAUCUCUGCCUAUGUCUGGAUUUCCUCACACGCGUUCCCCGAGGCAGCGUGAGUUGCGAAAUACCAGAAUGGUUACAGCAGAGAUGUCUGUUCUGAAAACCAGAGGGCAGAGUCUGACCGACGGUGCCAAUGGCAGGAUGCCGUAUCCCAACCAAGAUGCAGGGACGCGUCUAAAUAUGCGGGUCCACAGCUUCUCGGGCACUUGCAGUGGAUUGUGACUGGACCCAUGAAGCCUUGAAAAGAUUUAGAAAAGACGAUCUUUGUGUGUAAAUAAAAAUAAACGACGUAGAACUCCGGAGUAAGUUAACUAUAAAGUGGAUUCCGAAGUGCUAAUAAAAAAAAAAAAAUGCAACUCA